rnacentral:lncRNA from 1 species
UCUGGGGCGGGGAAACAACACACCCAUAGACAUACAUUCUCUGACAAAGCGCCUAAACAUUGCUAUCCUCACAAAGACAUGCAUUAUGUCCCUCAACUCUACGCAGUUACGAAUGCUCAGCCCUUUCCCCGUCCACAACAGAAGAACAAUAGAAAUCAAGCUCCAAGGAAUCAACCCCCUCAUAAUCAUUACAACCGCC